rnacentral:lncRNA from 1 species
CCUCGAGAAAUAUUUUCUCUAAAUCCUUUGUAAGAAUACCAAGUAUCUUUCUAAAGGAUAAGAGAUCCUACUGGAUCUACGAGGUAGAGGAAGUACUAGAUAUACUGGCUCAUCUUAAAUAGAUUGUAUAGGUCCUAUGACUCAUUAUUUUUAAGAGAUUUCUCUUUGAUUUUAUCCUCCUACUAUUUUUAAAAAAAUAGUAUGAUUGCUCACAAUCAUAUUGUGAACCACUGGAAAGAGAAAG